GACGAACGCUGGCGGCGUGCUUAACACAUGCAAGUCGAACGGAAAGGCCCUGCUUUUGUGGGGUGCUCGAGUGGCGAACGGGUGAGUAACACGUGAGUACCCUGCCUUUGACUUUGGGAUAACUUCAGGAAACUGGGGCUAAUACCGGAUAUGAGCUCCUGCUGCAUGGUGGGGGUUGGAAAGUUUCGGCGGUUGGGGAUGGACUCGCGGCUUAUCAGCUUGUUGGUGGGGUAGUGGCUUACCAAGGCUUUGACGGGUAGCCGGCCUGAGAGGGUGACCGGGCACAUGGGGACUGAGAGACGGCCCAGACUCCUACGGGAGGCAGCAGGGGGGAAUAUGGCACAAUGGGCGGAAGCCUGAUGCAGAAACGCCGCGUGCGGGAUGACGGCCUUCGGGUUGUAAACCGCUUUCGCCUGUGACGAAGCGUGAGUGACGGUAAUGGGUAAAGAAGCACCGGCUAACUACGUG
rnacentral:rRNA from 1 species